AAGACUAUACUUCAUAGGAUCAUUUCUUUAGUCGGUCUUCAUUUAUUACAGCCGCAAGGUAGUCAUAACUCUUAGU
rnacentral:snoRNA from 1 species